rnacentral:rRNA from 1 species
GACGAACGCUGGCGGCGUGCUUAACACAUGCAAGUCGAACGGAAAGGCCCUGCUUUUGUGGGGUGCUCGAGUGGCGAACGGGUGAGUAACACGUGAGUAACCUGCCCUUGACUUUGGGAUAACUUCAGGAAACUGGGGCUAAUACCGGAUAGGAGCUCCUGCUGCAUGGUGGGGGUUGGAAAGUUUCGGCGGUUGGGGAUGGACUCGCGGCUUAUCAGCUUGUUGGUGGGGUAGUGGCUCACCAAGGCUUUGACGGGUAGCCGGCCUGAGAGGGUGACCGGCCACAUUGGGACUGGGAUACGGCCCAGACUCCUACGGGAGGCAGCAGUGGGGAAUAUUGCACAAUGGGCGGAAGCCUGAUGCAGCAACGCCGCGUGCGGGAUGACGGCCUUCGGGUUGUAAACCGCUUUCGCCUGUGACGAAGCGUGAGUGACGGUAAUGGGUAAAGAAGCACCGGCUAACUACGUG